CACGUAGGGGGCAAGCGUUGUCCGGAUUCAUUGGGCGUAAAGAGCUCGUAGGCGGUUCGAUAAGUCGGGUGUGAAACCUCCAGGCUCAACCUGGAGACGCCACCCGAUACUGUCGUGACUAGAGUCCAGUAGGGGAGCGUGGAAUUCCUGGUGUAGCGGUGAAAUGCGCAGAUAUCAGGAGGAACACCAGCGGCGAAGGCGGCGCUCUGGGCUGGAACUGACGCUGAGGAGCGAAAGCGUGGGGAGCGAGCAGG
rnacentral:rRNA from 1 species